GACGAACGCUGGCGGCGUGCUUAACACAUGCAAGUCGAACGGAAAGGCCCUGCUUUUGUGGGGUGCUCGAGUGGCGAACGGGUGAGUAACACGUGAGUAACCUGCCCUUGACUUUGGGAUAACUUCAGGAAACUGGGGCUAAUACCGGAUAGGAGCUCCUGCUGCAUGGUGGGGGUUGGAAAGUUUCGGCGGUUGGGGAUGGACCCGCGGCUUAUCAGCUUGUUGGUGGGGUAGUGGCUUACCAAGGCUUUGACGGGUAGCCGGCCUGAGAGGGUGACCGGCCACAUUGGGACUGAGAUACGGCCCAGACUCCUACGGGAGGCGGCAGUGGGGAAUAUUGCACAAUGGGCGGAAGCCUGAUGCAGCAACGCCGCGUGCGGGAUGACGGCCUUCGGGUUGUAAACCGCUUUCGCCUGUGACGAAGCGUGAGUGACGGUAAUGGGUAAAGAAGCACCGGCUAACUACGUG
rnacentral:rRNA from 1 species